rnacentral:misc_RNA from 1 species
CCAAACUUGGUCAUUUAGAGGAAGUAAAAGUCGUAACAAGGUCUCCGUUGGUGAACCAGCGGAGGGAUCAUUAGCGAAAUCGCGAGUUUUCGUUCGAAAACUCUUCGAAACCCUUUGUUUACAUCUCUACGUUUUGUCUCUUUCGGCAGGCGGCCCCGGGGAGGGGCCUUCAGGCCUUGCGGCGCCUGCCGGAGGACGCUUCAUGAACUCUUCACUAUAUACUGUCAUCUGAGCAAGAAGCUGAAAAUACAGCGGAUUAAAACUUUCAACAACGGAUCUCUUGGCUCUGGCAUCGAUGAAGAACGCAGC